UACCAGGUACAAAGAUUCUGAGCGACCUCAGGGUUGCCCUGGAAUCCUCGAGGGAAUGUAGUGAGGUGUCAGUAUUGUCAUGGAACAGCUUCAGUCCUAUGAAGGUGAGAUCUCCCAUUGUGUUUUGUACCUCUCUCUGAGACAGGCCAGACAACUGAAGCCAGGAUGCUUACCUCAUCAGAACAGCAGUGCUAGAGAACACGAAGCUGUAUCAGCAGUGUUGAGGGCAGUCUGUAAAGAAGUCUUGGCUAGGAGUUGGCCCUCAGAAAUGAAGGCUUGGAACUGCUCCCUCUUGUCCUGUGACAAAUAAUUAAAAUGAGUAACUUUGCAUAGUUACUAAAGUCAUAUUUUGUCAUCAGGCUUGGUAGUUUGCUACCCAAAACUGAAGGGCAGAGGAAGAAUAACUUCCUGCCAAGGAAGUCUAGGCAUUUGGUCCAGGGCCCUAGCCAGAGAUGAAGGACAAGGUAUCAAGGAGGAUGCUGAGGUGAUAGACUGGUAUUUCUCUGGCUCUCUUCUGUGCUUGCUAGCAGGCUUGUCUCAAGUUUCUCUGCCUACUUGGGCCGUACCAGGGCCCCAGGGCGGUGUCAAUAGGGACCUUGGAGGUACCCAUUUUGGGACAUGAGCUGACCUAUCUCUUUUUCUGGAGGCUUUGUCCAGAAGGAGAGCUCUCUCUUUUUAGAGUGCUUCACCUCUGAAGGAGUCUCAGAAGCCACUGAGGUACUGGGAGGAGUGGGGAGAUCAGACCCCACAGCUCUUAGGGAGAGCUCCAUGAGGAGCUCACCUCACCUCACCUCCUCACCUCCCUUUCCUUGCAAGACCUGCUCUUAAAUGUUGUGCAAACGUCACCAUGUUUAAGAAUCGCCAACACACCAGAGAUAGCUAGAGUGCCCAUUGCUCUGGGGGGGAAAAUGUAUUGCACAACUGGCAGGCUUUGAUGCCUGGAGCUUUUGGCAUGCCCCAGUGUACGGCCAGUGGGAAGGCCAAAGAAUUGGUCCCCAAAAAGUAGGAAAGAUGGUGGCAGAGGAGGGUCUCUAAACCCACAGUAUGUGCGGGGGUGUGAUCUUGAAGCCAAUGAAGUUAAUGGCAAAACUCAUCUUCAAAGGGAGCACAACUUGGGCAAAAGUUAUGUUUAUUUCAAAGAAAAAAAACCCCACACAUUCUGGGGAAAAUUCUUACUGCCUGUACCCACACAAAUAGCCCCAUUGACUUUGACGGGACAACUCCUGAAAAUAAAGCUUUUUAUUACCUUGCAUGCUGAAAUGUGUUUGUUUCCAAGCACAGCAUCAAUUUUGUUGCAUGUUUUUAGAUAUUAUAAAUACAAACACACACACACACACACACUCUCCCCACUCCCAAGUUCUUCCCACCUGGAAAACAGAUUCAGAACUUCAGAUGAGUAAAAGAGGCAACAGUCAUAAGUAAAU
rnacentral:lncRNA from 1 species